GGUCAAGUAAUGAAGCGCACAUGGUGGAUGCCUUGGCAGUCAGAGGCGAUGAAAGACGUGACAGCCUGCGAUAAGCUUCGGGGAGGCGGCAAUAUCCUGUGAUCCGGAGAUUUCUGAAUGGGGAAACCCACUUACCAUAAGGUAGGUAUCCUAAUUUAUUAGGAAGCGAACGAGGGGAAGUGAAACAUCUCAGUACCCUUAGNAAUAGACAUCANUNGAGAUUCCCCUAGUAGCGGCGAGCGAACGGGGAGAAGCCGAUUAAUUCUAAUGUA
rnacentral:rRNA from 1 species